CCUACGGGUGGCAGCAGUGAGGAAUAUUGGUCAAUGGACGCAAGUCUGAACCAGCCAUGCCGCGUGCAGGAAGACGGCUCUAUGAGUUGUAAACUGCUUUUGUACGAGGGUAAACGCAGAUACGCGUAUCUGUCUGAAAGUAUCGUACGAAUAAGGAUCGGCUAACUCCGUGCCAGCAGCCGCGGUAAUACGGAGGAUUCAAGCGUUAUCCGGAUUUAUUGGGUUUAAAGGGUGCGUAGGCGGUCGGAUAAGUUAGAGGUGAAAUACCGUGGCUCAACGUUGGAAUUGCCUUUGAUACUGGUCGGCGAGAGAGUAGUUGCGGUAGGCGGAAUGUAUGGUGUAGCGGUGAAAUGCGUAGAGUUCAUACAGAACACCGAUUGCGAAGGCAGCUUACCAAGCUACUUCUGACGGUGAGGCACGAAAGCGUGGGUAUCGAACAGGAUUAGAUACCCGGGUAGUC
rnacentral:rRNA from 1 species